AGUGAACGCUGGCGGUAGGCCUAACACAUGCAAGUCGAACGGCAGCACAGUAAGAGCUUGCUCUUACGGGUGGCGAGUGGCGGACGGGUGAGGAAUACAUCGGAAUCUACUUUUUCGUGGGGGAUAACGUAGGGAAACUUACGCUAAUACCGCAUACGACCUACGGGUGAAAGCAGGGGAUCUUCGGACCUUGCGCGAUUGAAUGAGCCGAUGUCGGAUUAGCUAGUUGGCGGGGUAAAGGCCCACCAAGGCGACGAUCCGUAGCUGGUCUGAGAGGAUGAUCAGCCACACUGGAACUGAGACACAGUCCAGACUCCUACGGGAGGCAGCAGUGAGGAAUAUUGGACAAUGGGCGCAAGCCUGAUCCAGCCAUACCGCGUAGGUGAAGAAGGCCUUCGGGUUGUAAAGCCCUUUUGUUGGGAAAGAAAAGCAGCAGGUUAAUACCCCGCUGUUCUGACGGUACCCAAAGAAUAAGCACCGGCUAACUUCGUG
rnacentral:rRNA from 1 species